GGGAUAACAGGCUGAUCUCCCCCAAGAGUUCACAUCGACGGGGAGGUUUGGCACCUCGAUGUCGGCUCAUCGCAUCCUGGGGCUGAAGCGGGUCCCAAGGGUCGGGCUGUUCGCCCGUUAAAGCGGUACGAGAGUUGGGUUCAGAACGUCGUGAGACAGUUCGGUCCCUAUCUGUUGUGGGCGUAGGAGAUUUGAGAGGGUCUGUCUCUAGUACGAGAGGAUUGAGAUGGACGGACCUCUAGUGUGCCGGUUGUCGCGCCAGCGGCAGCGCCGGGUAGCUAUGUCCGGUUUGGAUAACCGCUGAAAGCAUCUAAGCGGGAAGCCAGCCUCAAGAUAAGAUCUCCCGGAGGGUAACCUCCCUAAAGGCUACUCGUAGACGACGAGUUUGAUAGGCUGGAUGUGGAAGAGCUGUAAGGCUUGAAGCUAACCAGUACUAAUCGGCCGUGCGACUUAACAUC
rnacentral:rRNA from 1 species